UGGAAUUUAGUUUAAUUGAAAAUGUUAAGUUGUUGCCUUAAAGUUGUAGUUCUAG
rnacentral:tRNA from 1 species